UUCCAUUGCUCAGUGGAAGAGCACAAGCUUUGUAUUAGAAGUUCCCAGGUUCAAUUCCUGGCUUCUACAGUGGAAA